rnacentral:lncRNA from 1 species
AGACCGGUGUUUGUCCUAAGUCGGAACUUGAUUGGGCUGAGAAAUCACAUUGUGACUAUUCCACGACUUGAACAAGGGGUAGAAAUCGCAGGCACCGCGAAAUAGAAACUUCCUAGGACCAAGAAGCCAACGACGCCCGAAACCGUGGGGUCCUGUCACAGAAACCCCAGCAGCGCAGCCACCGGACUGGGUUCUGGAGGCCGAGCCGCAGUCCGUGCGGCGGCGCUGGGAAGAGAAGGCGCCCCGGCAGCUCCCCUGCCACCGGCCCCGAGGAGCGGCUGGCUCCCCCAGCCCAGCGCCGCCGCCGCCCGGUAACUCCAGGCGCAACUGGGCGCAACUGGGGCAGCUGCGACACCGAAUCCCUCACAUCUGCAACCUGGGUGCUGCGGCCACUGAGAAAAUGGAGGCGCAGACCAACGAGCGGUGCCGCGACCGAGAGACCUCGGCUGGCGAAAUGGUGGUGCCGGGAGCCUGCGAGUGACGCCAGCCGGCGGGGUUGUCAAGGACAACAUUCGUUUUGACGCAGCCAAUGGCGCCGUCACCAAGAAACCAUCGACUCUGAGAAAAAAGAGAGGUUCGGCCACCGAGAAACUCCGUACGACAAGUGCUGUGGCAGAAAAACCGCCUACUCCGCGCCACAGGCAAAACAGCCAAUGGAAACCCCAGGUGCUGCGACCGUGACACCGGCACUAGAGGGUCUCGGAUGGAGAAAGCGGCGCACGGAGACCAGGAAACUAUGUGUAGCACAACUAGCAGAAAACCGUCUGGUCGGCCAUCCGGGAGAAAGCGCGGAUCAGAAACAAGCGACUUCGAUGCAGGGAACCGCGCAGCCACUGAAGAAAGUGACCCACGUGGCAGUGGUGCCAGCGAAACACUGCAGUUUGGACGGCAGCUGUGGGGAUGCCACAGAGAAACAUGCACUGCCACUGAAGUACAUCCAGCUCCGCGGAGCUAGUGUUCAUAUGAUCAAGAAACCGCCAGUUGGGCUCUGCUAGAAACUUUUAGUCCUCCCUUAACGGCUAUCCUACCCACAACAGACAAUGCCUUUACCCAGCACCUAGCGGUGCUGAGACCCGCCUGGGCCAGCACAGAGCGCAGAGCAGUACGGGUACGGAGAAACGCCGGACUCAGUGAAACCAGCCUUGCCUCCAGCGGAUUCCCCGGCUUCGCCGGACGCCACAGGCAGAGUGCCGCGGGGAAACCUCUGGCUCCCUAAACCGAUUAGAUUGUGGGAGUGGGGGGGACACUCACAAGUUGUGUGGAAGGGAACCAGCGGCAAUGGGACCCGGCGAGCACUUGCCCGCAGCAAAUGCCUGCGCUGCUGCAAAAAAAACAACUUUUGGCGCAAAGAAUGUUGCGGCCAGAGAGCAUCCGCUGUCGCUGACAAAGGAGUAGCAAUGGCAAUGAGAAACCGCCGGCGCCACGGCCGACCGCGGCGGCUCACGCCUAUGAUCCUUGCAGUUUGGGAGGCCGAGGUGGGCGCAUUACUUGAGAUCAGGAGACUAGCCUGGCCAACAAGGUGAAACCCCAUCUCUACUAAAAUACAAAAGAUUAGCCGGUUGUGGUGGCAGGCACCUGUAAUCCCAGCUACUCCGGAGGCUGAGGCAGAAGAAUCGAUUGAACUCAGGAGGCAGAGGUUGCAGUGAGCCAAGAUCGCGCCACUGCACUCCAGCCUGGGAGACAGAGUGAGCUCCGUCUCAAAAAAAAGAAAGAAACCGCUGGCGCCGGGAAAGGAGCCGUGCAGCGAUGGACCCAUGGUGCGCUCCGUGCUACCAAAGUGCUGUGGCCUCUACCCACUCUCGAUUCCCAAGGCUGUUUUUCGGGCUUAGGGAAGUCUGUUAUAUUUUUAUUUCUGCUUCUUUCUUUUCUUUCUUUUAUUUCUUUCUUUCUUUUUCUUUCUUUCAUUCUUUCUUUUUCUUUUUCUUUCUUCUUUCCUUUCUUUCUCUCUUUCCUUUUUUUCUUUUUCUCUUUAUUUCUUUUUUCUUUAUUUUUUUUUUUAACAGUAUCUUGCUCUGUUGCCCAGGCUGGUGCAGUGGCGUGAUCACUGCUCAGUGCAGCCUCGCCUUCUUGGGCUCCAGCUAUCCUCCCGCCUCAGCCUGUGGAGCAGCUGGGACCACAGGUGCGCGACACCACACCCGACUAAUUUUUUGUAGUUUUUGUAGGGUCUCGUUUUGUUGCCUAGGCUGUUCUCGAACUCCUGAGCUCAAGCAGUCCGUCCGCCUGGGCGGACUAAUAUCACAAAGCGCUAGAAUCACAGGCAUGAGCCACCGUGCUGGGAGGGAAGUCUGUAUUGUUGCUGCGUUCAACCCAGUGCAUAGUGCAUGAGAAGAGGAGGCAGUUUAGGGGCCCAGAACCAAGCGGAUGGGGCUGGUUGCAGGAACAAAGUAAAAACCAUUCUGAUUGCCAACAGCUGCCUACGCAGGAAACACCCUUCCAACCUCCGUGGCGGGGCUCUCCCAGGCCACCCCUCGGUCCCAGAGUCUCCUCCCCGUCCAGAGCUCUCAGGAUCCUACAGAAGGGGCGGACAACUCUUCCCUUCCAAACUGGAAAGUCGGCCUAGGUUUCCGAGGAUAAUGAAAGGCACAGCGUUUUUUGACCUCGACUUCAGGCCUGACCCCCCACUCUCUCGGUCCCGUACCUCUUCUGCGGGAUGUAACUCUGUGGGAACCGCUCCUUUAUUCUGAUGAUUAACUGUCUGAUAUCCUUGAUAUUUGGGGAUAGUAGAUGAAAGAGAGCAGGAGAGAAAAAUGGACGGCAAGACUCCAGCUCAGAAGGUGGGAAUGAUGGCAAAAGUCCGCUACCUCUCCAAGCCCAAUAAACAUCUCAAACUGCUCUACACUUUUCUGUACCCUUGAUCUGUGAAAUGGAUCACUGACGUUUUCUGUCUUUCGGGAAAUGCAAAGCAGGCGAAUUUUCAAGCGCUUGAAUUCCCUCUUUUUCCUACUUUUCAGUCAGAGUGGAGCUAAAAACUCCUUCCCCAUAGGAAAUAUGGAACUGCCUCUGCCCGGAAGAAAAACGUCCCUUUUCCCUAAGCUUUCACAUUUCCCGAAAAAUCUACACAUCCGCAUGAAAUCCUCACAAGAGACCUACAGACCCUACCGGGAGCGUUCCUGUCACUACAAAAAAUUUAAAAAUUAGCCGGAUGCGGUCGCGGGUGCCUGUAGUCCCAGGUACCAGGGAGGCUGAGGUGGGAGGAUCUCUUGAGCCCAGGAGGUCCAGGAUGCAGUUAACGAUGAUCCUAAGACCACGAGGCAAUUGGAGGAUCCUCAAAUACCAGGGAGAAACUAGCUAGCAGACAUAGUAUGGUGGGAGGGGAAGAUCAAGGCAAAUGCCUUGGGAGUGGGUGAGAAUUGCGACUUCAUAUUGGAUCUCCUGACCUGUGAAGGCCCUUUUCUAGGCUCCUCUGGACCUGUCCUCUGCCCAGGUUCAACCAGAAAAGGAUGGAGUUUGUUGCAUGGUAUCAUCAGGGUGAGGUUGGGAGAUGAUGCGGGAACGCUCAUCCCUGGUCUUAGGAACGGGAGAACAAAGGAAAAAUGGCAUCAUUUCCACCUAAAAAGUUACAAGCACUUCACCAGAAGGAACAGCCCAGGCGGAGCCUUUGUAAAAGAAAAGCCCCACCCACUGCUUCGCACUCCUCAUUUCCACCCAGCAGAGCAUUUUAGUGACAAAGCUGAGCGGGAGCCAGAGUUCACUCCUGUAAUCCCAGCACUUUGGGAGGCCCAGGCGGGAGGAUCACUUUAACCCACGCGUUCAGGACCAUCCGAAGCACAUAGCAAGACCGUGCCACUACAAAAAAUUUAAAAAAUUAGCGGGAUGCAGUCGCGGGUGCCUGUAGUCCCAGCUACCAAGGAGGCUGACGUGGGAGGAUCUCUUGAGCCCAGGAGGUCCAGGCUGCAGUGAACGAUGAUCCUUCACGGCACCACUGCACUCCAGCCUGGGUGACAGACUGAGACUUUGUCUCAAAAAAUAAAAUGAAAUAAAAAUACAGCCGAGAUUAGGAACUCUUUAAGAAGGGGUCACCUGAGACAUUAUUAGUAUACCAUUAACAGGAGAAAAUGCUGCAAAUUAAAGUAUCAUAAUGGUAGGAGGCUACCCAUUUAAAAAUAUAUACCUGUUUCAGAGACACUAAAGUGAGAAAAAAUUUACUCUAGAAUUGAUUAAAUUCAGAUAUCCACUGCUUUAUUUUAAACCUUAAGUGCCAUUUUAGUUUAUUUACCUCUUAGAAAUAGCAUGGAGAUUGGAGUUGUAAUUUUUUAAUAUUUAUUUAUUUAUUUAUUUAGAGACAGAGUCUGGCUCUGUUGCCCAGGCUGGAGUGCAGUGGUGUGAUCUCAGCUCACUGCAGCCUCUGCCUCCCGGGUUCAAGCUAUUCUGAGGCCUCAUAUCUGGGAACCUGCCCCAAUAGUCACAUAGGUUCUUUUCUAUUUUCCCUAAGCAUCGGCCGGUUUGAGAAAUAAAGGGACAGAGUACAAAAGAGAGAAAUUCUAAAGCUGGGUGUCUAGGGGAGACCUCACAUGUCAGUAGGUUCUGUGAUGCCCCACAAGCUGUAAAACCAGCAAGUUUUUAUUAGGGACUUUCGAAAGGGGAGGGAGUGUACGAAUAGGGUGUGGGUCACAAAGAUCACAUACUUCACAAGGUAAUAGAAUAUCACAAGGCAAAUGGAGGCAGGGCGAGAUCACAGGACCACAGGACCGGGGUGAAAUUCAAAUUGCUAAUGAAGUUUUGGGCACCAUUGUCAUUGAUAACAUCUUAUCAGGAGACAGGGUUUUGAGAGCAACUGGUCUGACCAAAAUUUAUUAGGCGGGAAUUUCCCCUUCCUGAUAAGCCUGGGAGCACUAUGGGAGACUGGGGUUUAUUUCAUCCCUACAGUCUCGACCAUAGAAGACGGCCACACCCAAGGGGGGCAUCUAUAGACCCACCCUCAGGUGCGUAUUCUCUUUCCCAGGGAUGUUCCUUGCUGAGAAAAAGAAUUCAGCAAUAUUUCUUCCAUUUGCUUUUGAAAGAAGAGAAAUAUGGCUCUGUUCCGCCUGGCUUUUUCCCAGCGGUCAGAGUUUAAGGUUAUCUCUCUUGUUUCCUAAACAUUGCUGUUAUACUGUUCUUUUUUCAAGGUGCCCAGAUUUCAUACUGUUUAAACACACAUGCUCUACAAUUUGUGGAGUUAAUGCAAUUAUCACAGGGUCCUGAGGCGACAUACAUUCUCCUCGGCUUACGAGAUGACAGGAUUAAGAGAUUAAAGUAAAGACAGGCAUAGGAAAUCACAAGGGCAUUGAUUGGAGAAGAGAUAAGUGUCCUUGAAAUCUUCACAAUUUAUGUUUAGAGAUUGCAGUAAAGAUAGGCAUAAGAAAUUAUAAAAGUAUUAAUUUGGGGAACUAAUAAACGUCCAUGAAAUCUUCACAAUCCACGUUCUUCUGCC